CUUCGUAGGAUAGCAUAUUAUUUUACCUACAACAGGACUAUAACUAGCACAGUUGGCUAAGAGUUUUGAUGGUUGGUAUUCGAGAUUCUAAGUUCAAAACCUAAUAAAUUCACAUUUCUAACUGAGUUCAUUAAAAAAAAAAAAAGGAAGUUUUCUGAAAAAAUAAUAUAAUUCUACCUACGAGAUAAUUUAUCUUAUUCGGAGAAAAUAACUUUGAUUGCCGAAUACCCGAUGUCAUCCGAGACAUCUAAUUUGAUUACAUUUCUCAUCUGCCAAAUACUGAAAGCAUCUUAACUCGUUAUUUGGAUAUUGAAAAUAGUUAUCCUUUAAUACAUUACUUGGUAUGAAAAUUUUCUAUUGUGAUUGAAAGUUAUUAAGAGUUUAAUUUUUCGUCCUUCCAUGAGAGAUAUUAAAUUUGAUUACACUUCUCAUAUGCUGGAAACAUCUUAAGACCUUAUUUGGAUGUCGGAAAUAGUUUUCUAGUAAUAACUUAUUCAGUAGGAAAAUUUUCUAUUGUGGUUGAAAAGUAGGAGUUUGAUUUUUACUCCUUAAAAAAUAUAAGGAAUGCUUCAAUACACCAAGUAAAUUAAAUCUAGCCGUUCAAAAUUUAAGGGCGAGAUUGUCUUUUGCUUAGUGGUUACCUGCUCAACAGGUUACCAUUCGUAAGGGUAAUAUGGAAAAAGAAAUACAAGCCAAUUACCAAAUUUGAUCAACCCAAUACAAAUAUUUGUUUUCUUGUUUAAUUUUGUUACUUAUCAAAUUAGACAGUGCUAAUUUGAUAAG
rnacentral:lncRNA from 1 species